rfam:Equus caballus chromosome 28, whole genome shotgun sequence.
UCUAGAGCAAAUUUAUCUAAAAAAUUGUAAGAUACAAAUGUUCCCUUCACUAAUAUUCACUGAGAAAUGAACACUCAAGUUAAAACAUUUUUCACUGGGGCAGCCCAGUGGCGC